UACGUAGGGUGCAAGCGUUAUCCGGAAUUAUUGGGCGUAAAGAGCUCGUAGGCGGUUUGUCGCGUCUGCUGUGAAAACUGGGGGCUCAACCCCCAGCCUGCAGUGGGUACGGGCAGACUAGAGUGCGGUAGGAGAGAUUGGAAUUCCUGGUGUAGCGGUGGAAUGCGCAGAUAUCAGGAGGAACACCGAUGGCGAAGGCAGAUCUCU
rnacentral:rRNA from 1 species